UACGUAGGGUUCAAGCGUUAAUCGGAAUUACUGGGCGUAAAGCGUGCGCAGGCGGUUUUGUAAGUCUGACGUGAAAUCCCCGGGCUCAACCUGGGAACUGCAUUUGUGACUGCACGGCUGGAGUGCGGCAGAGGGGGAUGGAAUUCCGCGUGUAGCAGUGAAAUGCGUAGAUAUGCGGAGGAACACCGAUGGCGAAGGCAAUCCCCUGGGCCUGCACUGACGCUCAUGCACGAAAGCGUGGGGAGCAAACAGG
rnacentral:rRNA from 1 species